rnacentral:rRNA from 1 species
AUGAGCCAGGCACGCCCGUUCGAGCGCGAUAGGGUCCAAAGCAAGCACGUCUGUCAUUCGCAAGAAGCAUUCAUUUUAUGCAGAUAGGAAUCCAAUACCACUCAUGCCCAAUACCACUCAUGCACCCCGACCAGAUGUGGAACGGUGACGUUCCAUCGAUCGACUCGAGGCGUGGACAAGCAUAUAUUGGAGGGCGGCCAAUGCCCGGGCUCUCGAUACGCUCGUGGAACGUCGUCUCCUCGAUUGUGGUAGGUAGCAUGCGCCUCUGGCAUGCUUCCGCAUAUACGCGCUCCAGAUGCUUGUCUUGGGCUCCCCAUUCGACCCGUCUUUAAACACGGACCAAGACAUGUGUGCGAGUCAACAGGCGAUUACACCCAUAAGGCGUGAGGAAGCUGAUUGGUGGGAUCCCCCUAAGGGGUGCACCGCCGACCGACCUGAUCUUCUGAGAAGGGUUUGAGUGUGAGCAUACCUGGCGGGACCCAAAAGAUGGUGGCCUAUGCCUGAGCGGGGAGAAGCCAGAGGAAAAUCUGGUUGAGGCUUGCAGCGAUACUGACGUGCAAAUCGUUCGUUUGACUUGGGUAUAGGGGCGAAAGACUAAUAGAACCUUCUAGUAUCUGGCUCCGUAUAAAGUUUCCCUAUGGAUAGAUGAAUCUCGCAUGCGAGUUCUAUCAGGUAAAUCCAAUGAUUAGAGGCCUAGGGGGCGCAAAAGCGCCAUCGACUUAUUUUUAAAGUUUAAAUAGGUAGGACGGAGCGACUGCAUUGUUGAGCCGCGCCAUGGAAUCAAGAGCUCCAAGUGGGAAACUUUUGGUAAGCAGAAUUGGCGAUGCGGGAUGAACCAGAAGACGGGUUACGGAGCCAAACUGCGCUCUAACCUAGAUCCCGCAAAGGGUGUCGUUUGAUUAAGACAGCAUGACGGUGGUCAUGGAAGUGGAUAUCCGCUAAGGAGUAUGUAACAACUCACCUGCUGAAUCAACUAGCCACGAAAAUGGAAGGCGCUUUAACACGUUACCUACACCCAACCGUAGGGUCAAGUUCUAGGCCCCGAUGAGUAGUAAGGGGCCACGAUCGCUGCAAACCUUGGGCGUGAUCCUGGGCUGAGCGACUGUCUUUGCAAAUCUUUGUGGUAGUAGCAAAUAUUCGAAUGAGAACUUUAAAGGUCGAAGAGGGGAAAGGUUCUAUGUGAACGACACUUGCACAUGGGUUAGUUGGUUUAUAAGGGUCGGGGGAACCCCAAUAGAUAACACAUCUCGCAAGUAAUCCAAAAUAAAAUUGAGUUAAAAUUCUUGAUCCAAGACGUGGCGGUUGACGACAAAGUUGGUAAGUCCAGAGACGUCAGCGGGAGCCUCAAGAAGAGUUAUCUUUUUUGUUUAAAAGCCUGCCCACCCUGGAAUCAGCUCAGCGCAGGUAGGGUCCAACGUUGGAAGAGCACCGCAUGUUGUGUGGUGUCCGGUGCUCUCCCGGCGGCCCAUUAAAAUCCAGAGAAUUGAAUGUCGUCCACGUUCGGUCGUACUCAUAACCGCGUCAGGUCUCUAGGUGAACAACCUCUGAUCAAUAACAUAAUGUAGGCAAAGGAAGUCGGCAAAAUGGAUUCGUAACUUCGAGAAAAGGAAUGGCUCUGAGGGCUGGACACAGGGGUCCAUGUCCCGAACCCAUCGGCUAUUGGUGGACUACUUCAGUUGCUCCCGCAGCGAGAGCAGGUCGCCGCAUGCCGGCCGAGGGACGUACUGGGAACGAUUCCUUCGGGGGCCUACCCCGGGCGUCGAACAGCCAACUCAAAAUAGGUACGGAUAAGGGGAAUCGGAUUGGUUAAUUAAAACAAAGCAUUGUGAUGGUCCCUAUGGAUGUUUACAAAAUGUGAUUUCUUCCCAGUGCUUUGAAUGUCAAAGUGAAUAAAUUCAACCAAGCGCGGGUGAACGGCGGGAGUAACUAUGACUCUUUUAAGGUAGUCAAACGCCUCAUCAUCUAAUUAGUGACGCGCAUGAAUGUAUUAACGAGAUUUCCACUGUUCCUAUCUACUAUUCAGUGAAACCAUAACCAAGGGAACGGGCUUGGAAGAAUCAGCGGGGAAAGAAGACCCUGUUUAGCUUGACUCUAGUCCGACUUUAUGAAAUUACAUGAGAGGUGUAGUAUAAUUGGGAGUCGAAAGGCAAAAGUGAAAUACCAGUAUUUCAACGUUAUUUUACUUAUUCUGUGAAUCAAAAGAGGGGAACUGCCUCUCUUUUUUGACCCAAGGCUCUCUUCGCGGGUCAAUCCGGGCGAAAAACAUUGUUAGGUGAGAAGUUUGGUGGGGCGGCACAUCUGUUAAAAUAUAGUGCAUGUUUCCUAAGAUGAGCUCAACGAGAACAGAAAUCUCGUAUGGAACAAAAGGGUAAAAUCUCGUUCGAUUUAGAUUUCCAUUACAAAUACGAACCGUGAAAGCGUGGCCUGACGAUCCUUUAGACCUUCGGAAUUCAAAGCUAGAGGUGACAGAAAAACUACCACAGGAUAACUAGCUUGUGGAAGUCAAGCGUUCAUAGCGAUGUAUGUUUUUAAUCCUUUGAUGUCGGCUCUUCCUAUCACUAUGAAGCACAAUUCACCAAGUGUUGGAUUGUUCACCCACCAAUAGGGAACGUGAGUUGGGUUUAGACCGUCAUGAGACAUGAUAGAUUUACCCUACUAAUGACGGUGUUGCAAUAGUAAUUCAACCUACUACGAGAGGUACCGUUGAUUCAGACAAUUGGCCAUCGCGCUUGGUUCAAAAGCUAGUGGCGCGAAGCUACCGUGUGAUGGAUUAUGAUUGAACAACUCUAAGUCAGAAUAUGGUCUAGAAGCGACGCAUACGCCAAUUGUCCGCUUGACGACCCGCAGUAGGCCCCCAAGAGCACGUGUUGUUGGCUAAGUCACCACUACGGAAGCAUCGUGGUGACCGCCUUGAAGUACAAUUUCCAUCGAGUAGCGUAUAAAAUCCUUUGAAGAUGACUAAAAUAUGCGUU